CGGAACGGGUGAGUAAUGCGUGACCAACCUGCCCCAUGCUCCAGAAUAGCUCUUGGAAACGGGUGGUAAUGCUGGAUGCUCCAACUUGACGCAUGUCUUGUUGGGAAAGUGUUUAGUGGCAUGGGAUGGGGUCGCGUCCUAUCAGCUUGUAGGCGGGGUAAUGGCCCACCUAGGCUUCGACGGGUAGCCGGCCUGAGAGGGCGGACGGCCACAUUGGGACUGAGAUACGGCCCAGACUCCUACGGGAGGCAGCAG
rnacentral:rRNA from 1 species